UAGAAAGUGGUGUAGUGGAAGCACUAAGAGUUUUGAUCUCUUAAGUACGGGUUCGAGUCCCUUUUUUCUAA
rnacentral:tRNA from 1 species